GCUGAUGGACCAGCUGGUGCGGCUGGCCGCUACCGUCUCAGCUCGGGAUAAGAAGGAGGAGACGUUCCUGCAGCAGUGUGAACAGGUCCAGGUGCUCUCGACGCCCUCCAGCAGGCGACCGGUGGCGCCGCCCUGCGUCGAACCACUCGAAACACAACGCGCCGUGCCGCUGCUGCCGGAGCUGCGGCGGGCGCCGCCGCUGCCCGACUUCCAGGC